CGGGUGUAGCCACGCCGGUACAACUGGGGGGCCCUUCAUCGGCGAAAGCCGGUUUGGGCAUUGGGCGUUGGCAGCUGGCAGGGCCGGAAGGUAGGUUUAUUGUUUAAUCCCAUUAGUGCUUGUAUCUUUUUAGGUGAAUUCAGCUACAGCUUAGGUCCACUUGCCUGCCUUUCAAAAGCAAAUUGUAACGUGGUAACUACUGGACUUGGACUGGAUGUUUGGCCAGGUCAUAUUUUUGUAAAACUGAACUAAACCACACACGGGAGCUCAUAAUUCAUCAACCCUAGGGUAACCGAUGGACAAUCUAACCAUUUCGAUUACAUACAUCAUGCCGGGAAGGUCUUGCAUAAGAAAACAACACUCCGCACAUUGAAUGACCAUCGUAGAAACCCACCUAAAAUAAAUUUUAAAAUCGGAAUCCUGAUUUACAAGACUACAGUGUCGACCCACCCAUCAAAC